GAGAGUGGGUAUCCGCACGAGCGCACCUCACUUUAUCUUGCCAUCAUUAAGUCGGGCACUCUGAAAGAACUGCCAGUGAUAAGCUGGAGGAAGGUGGGGAUGACGUCAAGUCCUCAUGGCCCUUACGUGUUGGGCUACACACGUGCUACAAUGGCAUCUACAACAGGAAGCAAAACGGCAACGUUAAGCAAAUCCCGAAAAGAUGCCUCAGUUCGGAUUGCACUCUGCAACUCGAGUGCAUGAAGCUGGAAUUACUAGUAAUCGUGGAUCAGCGUGCCACGGUGAAUGCGUUCCCGGGUCUUGUACACACCGCCCGUCACACCAUGGGAGUUGGUUCUACCUUAAGGCAAGGUUUUAAACCCUUGACCACGGUAUAGUCAGCGACUGGGGUGAAGUCGUAACAAGGUAGCCGUAGGGGAACCUGCGGCUGGAUUACCUCCUUUCU
rnacentral:rRNA from 1 species